rnacentral:rRNA from 1 species
UGAGGAACAUGACCUUCGGCGGGGGAUAACCGGCCCAACGGCCGGGUAAUACCGCGUACGACCACAUGGGGACAUCCCUGAGUGGUGAAAGCAGCAAUGCGCCGAAAGAGUGCCUCGCGGCCUAUCAGCUAGUUGGUGGGGUAACGCUCACCAAGGCAACGACGGGUAGCUGGUCUGAGAGGAUGGCCAGCCANAGUUGGGACUGAGAUACCGGCCCAGACCUCCGUAGGGAGNAGCG